rnacentral:tRNA from 1 species
UCCCUGGUAGCUCAGAUGGUAAAGCAUCUGCCUACAAUGCAGGAGACCCAGGUUUGAUCCCUGGGUCGGGAA